rnacentral:rRNA from 1 species
CGGUAUGCUUAACACAUGCAAGUCGAACGCGAACGUACCUUCGGGUGCUAUUAGAGUGGCGGACGGGUUAGUAACGCGUAGGAAUCUGCCCAGUAGUGGGGGACAACAUGUGGAAACGCAUGCUAAUACCGCAUACGCCCUACGGGGGAAAGACUUCGGUCGCUAUUGGAUGAGCCUGCGUCAGAUUAGCUAGUUGGUAGGGUAAUGGCCUACCAAGGCGACGAUCUGUAGCUGGACUGAGAGGUCGAACAGCAACACUGGGACUGAGACACGGCCCAGACUCCUACGGGAGGCAGCAGUGGGGAAUAUUGGACAAUGGGCGAAAGCCUGAUCCAGCAAUACCGCGUGUGUGAAGAAGGCCUGCGGGUUGUAAAGCACUUUCAGUGGGGAAGAUAAUGACGUUACCCACAGAAGAAGCACCGGCUAACUCUGUGCCAGCAGCCGCGGUAAUACAGAGGGUGCAAGCGUUAAUCGGAAUUACUGGGCGUAAAGCGCGCGUAGGCGGCUUAUUAAGUCAGAUGUGAAAGCCCCGGGCUCAACCUGGGAACUGCAUUCGAAACUGACUGACUAGAGUAUGGUAGAGGGUGGGUGGAAUUCCUAGUGUAGCGGUGAAAUGCGUAGAUAUUAGGAGGAACAUCAGUGGCGAAGGCGACCACCUGGACCAAUACUGACGCUGAGGUGCGAAAGCGUGGGGAGCAAAC